AACGUAGGAGACAAACGUUAUCCGGAGUUACUGGGCGUAAAGGGCGUGUAGGCGGUCUGUUAAGUCUGGCGUGAAAGCUCUCGGCUAAACCGGGAGAGGUCGUUGGAUACUGGCGGACUUGAGGACGGUAGAGGCGUGUGGAAUUCCGGGUGUAGUGGUGAAAUGCGUAGAGAUCCGGAGGAACACCAGUGGCGAAGGCGACACGCUGGGCCGUACCUGACGCUAAAGCGCGACAGCAUGGGGAGCGAACGGG
rnacentral:rRNA from 1 species